UGUGACUUUGGUUCCCUGUGAGCAAGAUGAUCUGCAAGUGGCGACAUGAACUGAUUACCAAUCACUGACUUCAGGAGGAAGCAAGACAAGGGAAUGAGAAGCAGCAAGUUAAAUGCAGAACAGAAAUGAAGCUGUUAGACCAAAUUUUCAGCUUCUCACAUGGCACCUCUAUCUGUGAAUACGAUUUUCUCACUUGUUAGAGCCUCUGUCACAUAAUACACUUGCCACAGAAUACUGCCACAGAGAAGAGCAAAGGAAGACAGCUGGCUAGCCAAAUGUCCCCACAAUGGGUAAGUUAUAAAAAUACUGUCUUUCCUUCUUGACUAUGAGAGAGUAGCUAAUACCUUUAAAAAAGGCCCUCUCCCACCAUUUUCCUAAGUAAAUCCUUUCUUCCAGUAACUGAAAAGCAGACUGAUGUAUUUAUUAAGACUCCAGACCAGUAUGCCACUUACUAGCUGUGUGACUAAGAAAUUAAGUUACUUAUUUGAGCUCCCAUUUCUUAAUCUGUAAAAUGGGUAUUAAAAUAGUUCUUAUUUUGUAAGGUUGCUGUAACCAAUGUGUAUUUCUAUACGCCUAUAUUAUAUAAAAUCCUUAGAAUAGUGCCUGAAAGACCCAUGGGGGAGCUGUCCAUCAGAGCCACACUCCCCACCAGCUCCUUGGAAGGCACCCCCAAAAGCAGGAGUGGAGAGUCCAAAUGUCAUCUGCCCUCGAACACCACAUGAAAUGGGGAGUACCCUUCACUCAGAGAGCAGCCCACCCCUCUUCCUCCUUUCAGGUCAGCAGGUUAUCAUCACUCACCAGGUGCAGGGUGCUGUGGGGUGGUGUGGCAGGCAAGAAGGGGCUGGGCCCUGCCAUGUGGAAGCUUACUGUCAAGUGAGCUGGGAGAGAAGAGCAUGUUCUACCCUCUCUUGAAAAAAAGGUCUGCAGAUCUGCAGAUGUAGUUUUAGGGCCAGGGCUUGAAAUACAAUUUGUGUAAUUCGGGUUAAUUUCUAAUUGUUUUCUGAAUACAAACACAUAUAAAUAAGAAAUCAGUUAAUAUAAAAAGGUCCAGCUGAACACAGAGAGGCUACUUUUUGACUUGUCAUGGCUCUGUCUAAAUCAAGUACAGCCAUAACUUUGAGAAUGGCAGAACCGAGGGCCACGUUCCCCGUGAAGGCAACUGCUCAGAGCCCCCGUCUAGGGAGAUUUUUGUGUUGUUUAUAGUUGAGCAGUGAUUCAAGGAGGCUGCUGGUGAAGGUGGCACUGUGGGCUAAUAAGGAUAAGAAAUCGGGCUUAUACAGAGAACUCAAAGGAAUAACCUCUACCUCCUCCACCCACUGUUAUUUCCCUUAGCAGGUGUGAGAGGGCGGGCCCAUAUCCCUGGGCCCUCAUCAUUCCAGUACCUGCCCAGUGUCCUCCUCUAAGCACCUGUGCCUCUUGGCCCAAGCGUUUCUCUCAGCUGCUGUGCAGCACCAGAAGAGGAGCCAGGCGUGGCACUCUGGUAGUGACAGACCUGGAGGGGAAAAACCUCCCUUUCCUACUCCUUGAAUGGGAUAUCCCUGAGGCAUGCCCUACACAGUCAUCCAAGGUUCCCCAAUGGGACUGAGCACCAGGUGCUAUGAGUGAUAACCCACUCAAUCACACACUCUUACAGCCCGCUUUCCCUUCCCCAUGCCAUCUUCCUCUCUUUUCUAUCUGUGCUUCCUGGGACCACCUCCCAUAUAAACUACUUACACUCAAAUCCUUGUGUUAGGGUCCUUCCCAGGGGAUUCCAACCUAAGUCACUUGCUCUUUCAGUAUAGUUUUAGGAUUCCUUUCUCCCUUGCUGCAAUAUUUAUUUCAAUCAAGUUUCCCCCACACAAGGUAUCUGGUCCCUUUACUCCUUGGAGAUGAGCCAGGUCCUACAGUGGCUGCCUUGGUCUUAUGAAUGGUGCUCAGAUCCUGGGAACACAUCUGGAAUGGAAGAACCCUUUCCAUCAUCUCAUACUGGGGUGCUGUCUUCUCUGACGUGUGCCUCUCCUGCAGUGGCACUGCUCCUGGGAGCACCUCGGACACAUGCUCAGAUCCGUGGCUAAAGCCACUGCAGAGCUCAUCCCUGCAUACCAGGCACACAGCUGCCUCCUGUGGCCGUGCAGGCUUUCUCCCUUCAAGUUCUUCUUCAGUCGAGUUGUAAGGCAUUUCUUCUGCCCAACAAAGCCAACCGAAACGGACGCUUCUUUUAUUGCAAACAUGGGCAGUUUAGGGGGCGGGUCCUCAGCUUGCCAUGGCUCACCUGAUUCAGCUCAAAUACUACAGCACCAAGGAAGACCAUUUCCUCCCUCAAGUCUAGGUAAAAAUGCAGUAUUUAAAGUUGUUUUUAUUUCACCAGGAAUUUCUCCAACUUUUGAAGAGCUACCCAUACUAUCUUUUACCCAUACUACCUUAGAGGGCAUUGCUGCAAGGUGGUUAACAGCAUGGAUGCUGAAGUCCAGUGGUCUGGGUUUGAAUAUUGGUUCUGCCUGGUUGUGUAGUUUUCGGCAAGUUAACUAAAUUUUCUGAGCCUUACUAUAAAAUGGGGACAACAAUAUCCUCUACUUCCAGGGUUGUUGAGAAGAUUAAAUGAGUUGAUACACAUAAAGUGUUAACGCAGCACCUAGCAAAGUAAAAGUGCAGUGAUUAUUACCCAUUGUUACUACCAGUAUUAAAAGUGGGAAUAACACCUUUAUAACCAUUCUCCCACCUGAUCCUUGCAGGGAGGGUUACCACAGUGGAAGUGAAGCUCCUCAACAAGCCUUCAGCUCUGUGAUGAAAUUCCCUGGUCCUCCACACCUAUCCAUCCCUGACAGAGUAUGAUCAGUUUGCUUCUAUUUCUAGUAGAAUAUAUUUCACAGCAUAAUAGUUCAAAGAAACCUUACAACCCUAUCCCCAAAUGUAUACUGUCAUUCAAAAACGCCAUCUCAAUCUUUCUUGAGGACAUACAUUUUUAUGUGUUUUUAUGUAUAUUCUCUAGUCACCGUUCUUCAACCAGAAGAACAUGUCUGGAAACAGAGUUUGCCCCCAAAAUAAAAAAUAACAAUAUAUAUAAUAGAGGUGAAGAAUUACUAUAGUAAAAUUUGUGAGGAUCUGAGUGGGGCUUGAAAUGUGCCUUUUUGGUAAGACACAUUUUUUGUAAGCUGACUAAGUAAAUUAAUAGUGGAAACAAGCAUGGCAGAUGAACAGACUAACUAUUAAUCCUUCUAAGCGAAUGUAUGAUUCUAAAGAGCAACUACUGGAUGCAAGCAAAUAAUAGAUGUCCUACACCAAAACUGAGCCAGAGUUUUUAUAUUUAAAAAAUGGACACACACCACUUGAUGACUUUUCUUGGCAUCCAAGUUACUGCCUAUGGUUGAAAGCUGUAUAGCCACUUAAAAAAUACCUUUUUAUAAUUCAGAAUGAUCACCAAUUUGAUAGAUCCUCUCCCCUUUGUUAGUGUUUUCCACCUCAAUGGCCAUCCCCAAUACAGGUCCUCCAUUCUGUUAAUUCCUCCUGUCUGAAUGGAGCCUGAUUUCCUCAGUUCCACGUACUCCUCCCCAGGCUCAUCCUGCACAGCACUGCCAGCCUCAUCUUCCCGCAGCUGCACACAUGGGAUGUGACUGCUCUGCUCACAAGUCCUUCCUUCAUCUGCUGCCACACACACACACACACACACACACACACACACAAAUUCCAGGAGGAAAUCUCAGUUCUUAGCCUGGGACCAUAGUUCCAGGUACCAAAUCCCACAAGGUAGCUUUCCAAGCUCAUUUUCUACCACUGACUGGCAUCCUGCACAUCCUUCUAUGCCAGCUCACACACCACCUCCUCCACCAGGGCUGGGAUUACUCAAUUCACAGGAAGCAGAAUCUUCUUUCUUCUCAUUGCUCAUGUUUGUCCCACGUGACUGGCACUUUAUCACACACUAUUCUGUGCCUUAGAAAGAACAUUGCUUUCUGAGAAGCACUCUGAAGGUAAGAAAAUUGUGGCCUUCAUAGAGGGGCCUACUGUUGCUUCUCAAAGAGAACUGAUGCUUAACAACUAUUUAUUGAUUCAACCAGUGACUGUACUAUGCUUCAGGAAAGGCCCUGGAGGUCAAUGACCAAGACCAAUUCAUAUGACUGCCCAAAGAAGAGAAGCUUGGAUUUCCACUAAACAAUAAGCUAUAACUCAUAUGAUAAGGAAUGGUUCAGGAAUUAGUAUAAGGAUUAACUAAAACAUGAUUUUGCUGAAAUGUAUUUACCUUUUAAUUGGUUGAACAUCAAUGGAAAAUUAGAAAAUGCAAAAUAUAAAUUUCUCAAAGUGUUACCUAAUCGAUUCUUAUACAGCCAAUAGUCAAAGCUUUUAAGGAAAUGACACCUUUCCAUAUAAAUGAAAAGACUUCUAAUUAUUAUAUGUAACAUUUUAAGGGGUUGUCAACUGUAUGUCUCUUGCCCUAAUUUUAAAUAUGUCCUAAAAGGAGACUCCACAACUACAUGCAAGGUAAAGAAUCAGUGGGUAAAUAAAGAAAAAAAAAGCUUCCGUUUUCCUGAAGUACCAUUGACACUGCCGUGCUAAGAAUAUGUCUAUCAAGAAUGGCAUAGAAAGAACUAACUGGCUUCUAGAUUAAAACACAUCAAUUAUUUCAUGACCGAAUAUCAAAUAGAAAAACUGCCUGAAUGCUCUAAAAUUCUAUCACAUCAUACCACAUUUGGCCUACAUCGAAUGGCAUAUACGUCAUUUAUCAUUAAAGCCUUUUUAUAUAGGUCAAGGUUGCUGGGGCUUGGUGUUUUGUAUCUUACAGUUUAAAGAAUGCUCUAAGUUCUAGGGUUUUUUUUUUAAUUUUUUAAUCUAUGAGGAAGGAAAACGAAAACUUCCUAUAAACUCAGAUUAAUGCCUGCUAAUGCACGGAAGAAAGAAAAACUAAAACCUUCCUCCUACUAUAAAAACAAAAUAGUGUGGCCUCUGUUUCUUUUCUGAUAAGAGUCUUAAAUACCCAACAGUUAACUGCAUAAUAACAUUUACUGGCAGCCAGGCAGCCUGCUUAGCAGAUAUAUAAAGCAGGUAAAAGGAGAAAAAGUUAAUUUCUUGGCUGAAUGAUUCCAUCGGUAGCUAUAGGGCAAACCUGAAAGUCUUUUAGUAAAGUAGCAGUUGAUUCUUCUAUCAAUCUGUAGCACACACACUCUUCCAAGGAAAGCAUUAAAUAUGAAAAUCAUAUCCCGUUAUCAUCUGUUUCCAGCUUUCAGCCCAGUAAGCUUUUCUUAAUGAAUGCUGCAGCCUAAGGAACAAGCACGCUGUUGGCUUUUCUGAAUAAUGGAGUGAUGCUACCAUUUUUGCUUAUUACAAUAUCGACUGGCUGAGGGGGUUUCACACAUAGUCACAAGUGACUACUCUUGCCAGCAUGCUCCAAGUUAUUACAAGAUGUUUUUAGACAUUUCAUCUAAAAGAGCUUUACUGCUUUUAGUGAAGAAAACAUCUACGGUCUUGAACAGAAUCAUUUAUAUGGAGAUAGGCAGGAGGAUUAGAAGCCUGCAUUAUAGCAGAUACAUAGCAGAAUUUAUUUAAGUAUUCCUUGUCGAUCUUUUUGUCUAUUGCUUAGAUAUGCAAUCUUUUCUUUCCACGUUUUCUGUGCAAAGGUUAAAAUGUACAAAAUUAUGUAUAUUCGCACAAAUAAAAGAAUCAAAAUGCCAUAUUUUGUUUACUUUUCAUUUAAAACACUUCUCAAACUAAGAAAAGAGCAGCUACAAGGCAUGAUUUAGAAAAACAAUUUUACCUACUGACAACACUGAGGUUUUCUUUAGAGUCUAUCCUUUCUUCACAAAGUAACACCCUUUCAGCAAACUUAAUUAAAUUAGACAUUAAAGCAAUAUUCUGUAAGCAAAAAUCUUUAAAUAAUCACGUAAGGUUUAAUCAAAGGGAUCUUCCUAAUAAGAUGAUUUUAUUUAAAACAAUAUCUCAAGAUAUAAACACUCCAGAAUUCCUCUGUUAACAGAAAGGUUACCAAUUUAGU
rnacentral:lncRNA from 1 species